UUUACUUUUUAUGAAAAAAAA
rnacentral:piRNA from 1 species